ACGUGAUCAAAUUAAUAACCCAUAAUCCCACAAUUUUUGGAUUUUGGUAACUGCAACCUCUUACCCAUUAUUAUCUCUCCCACAAAAUGCAGUUGCUUCUCACUCAUCGAGCAUAACCUCUGCGGCACUGCCAUCUUCUCCGUUGAAGGAACGUCGCAGCCGUUACCGUCGAUGCUCUUACAUCAUCGACAUCAGAUUUCCCAAAAUGAAGCACUGGAAGGCUGGUGAAAUACCCUACUCAAAUAAUUUAUAUGUAUCUAUUUUGUAUUAGAUCUUAAAUGUCUCAUGCCCUCAAAGUUUUUGUAGAAAGAUUAGGUCCUUGGAAUUUUCUUCGGUCGUCGGAUACUGGGAUGAUCUUUGGAGGAAAGAUUGAAGGAGCUAGAGAAUGAUGGAAAUUGGAAGCACACAAGUUCAUCUUUAUUUGUCAAAGAUAUUCAUUAAUCUCAAUAUGCCUACUUCACUCUUUUUUUCAUCAUUGAAAGCCACGGGAUGAGUCAGGUGUGGGCACUUCUGCCAGACGCAUAAGAAGAGAAUUGUCGUCAUCGGCGACAUCUUCGAGAGUCAUUUGGUGGAUAAGCUUAUCGUCCAUCGCCCUUAAUAAUUUCUUUGCCGAAAGAAAGAAAAUGUGGUGAAUUUGUUUGGGAAUCACACGUUUGAGCUCAUUAGGCAUGGUGUUGUGGAACCCAUUUUGUUGGAGGUGGAUCAGAUCUACCAUUUGGCGUGCCCUGCUUCGCCAGUGCAUUAUAAGUAUAACUCUAUCCAGACUAUCAUAUAUAUCAUUGUGGUUUCUUGGGGAUGCUAAAUGUUAGAUCUUUGAGUUUAAUGGUAGCUUAGAUAAAAAGGAUUACUACUGCGGAAAUUAUGUGUGCUUGCUUGCUUAUCUUCAUGCUUUUGUUUGUUCAAUUUGUAAGAAUUGAUGUGUUGUGUGUUUGCUAUGUUAUUGUUUUAGCAUGGUUUUAGUUUGAUUGAAUAGAUGGUGUGUUCUGACAUGUGAUUACAAGACAAAUGUGAUGGAUUUCCUUAAUAUGUUGGGUCUUGCAAGGAGGAUAGGUGUGGGGUAUUUUCUCACUAAUACCACUGAGGUUUAUGGUGAUCCUCUUGAGCAUCCUCAGAAUGAAAUGGUUGGUUAGUGGCAAUUUUUGUGUAUUAUCAAUUGUGAUUUUUUUGUUGCAUUGAUCUGAUUUGAGGAUUAAUCAUGUGUGUGAGGAGUUGCUAUGACAAUGGAAAACGGAAAGCUGAAACCUUAAAUGUGGACUAUCACAAAGGAGUUGGUGGAGGUCAUAUGCAUGAUAACAAUAUGAAUCCUACUAUGUUCCAUUUGUCGACACUAAUAUGCUGCUUUUUGUUAAUGCUCUAUAUUUUUCAUCGUUAGUUUUGUUAGGUGAAUAAGAUUGGAGUUAUUGUGUGUCCUAAUCACAAGGGCUCGCUCGGCUGGUUGGUGCCCCGGCGAGAUACUACAGCUUGAGAUAAGAUCAGCAGGGCAGAGUGUGAAUGUGUCGGUCAAUAUGAUACCCACCUUCGUCAUCGUCCAGUGCUUCCUCAAAAUGCUCUACUUCAUGAAAUUUGGUCUCUUCAUAUUAUUUUCCUUCUUCGUCUUGGCCAUGGGUAUUUUUAUCUACUUUUUCUUUCCUAAGACUAAAGGAAUUCCCGUUGAAGAAAUUGUUGCUGUUAAGAACUCUCAUCCCUAUUGGAAAAGAUUCAUCCACAAAGUCAAAGACGACCGCAAAAACCACGAUAUGGCUGGAUUUGAUACAUCUAUGUACCAUUGUUUAAUUAACUUUGUUUUUUCUUUGAUCAAUGAUGACUAGCUAUCUAUAUAUAUAGGACCAUUUAGUUGUUUGAUUCUUUAUUUUUCGUCUUUAUGCUUAUAUGUUUAUGUUUCAGUA